rnacentral:rRNA from 1 species
CACAGAGUUAGCCGGUGCUUCUUCUCCCGGUACCGUCAAGCCGAAGCGUAUUGGGCUUCGGGUUUUCGUCCCGGUCGAAAGUGCUUUACAAUCCAAAGACCUUCAUCACACACGCGGCGUUGCUGCGUCAGGCUUUCGCCCAUUGCGCAAAAUUCCCCACUGCUGCCUCCCGUAGGAGUCUGGACCGUGUCUCAGUUCCAGUGUGGCUGAUCGUCCUCUCAGACCAGCUACCCGUCGUUGCCUUGGUGGGCCAUUACCCCGCCAACUAGCUGAUGGGCCGCGGACUCAUCUGGUUGUGAUAGCUUGUAUACAGAGGCCACCUUUUCCCUCAGCCUCCGAAGAGACCGUGGGCUUAUCCGGUAUUAGCCAAUCUUUCGACUGGUUAUCCCAGACAUCCAGGCAGAUUAUCCACGUGUUACGCACCCGUGCGCCGCUCUACUAGGGUUACCCCAUUCGCGCUCGACUUGCAUGUGUUAGGCACGCCGCCAGCGUUCGUU